rnacentral:rRNA from 1 species
AACGAACGCUGGCGGCAUGCCUAACACAUGCAAGUCGAACGAGACCUUCGGGUCUAGUGGCGCACGGGUGCGUAACGCGUGGGAACCUGCCCUUAGGUUCGGAAUAACUCCUCGAAAGGGGUGCUAAUACCGGAUAAUGUCUUCGGACCAAAGAUUUAUCGCCUUUGGAUGGGCCCGCGUUGGAUUAGCUAGUUGGUAGGGUAAAAGCCUACCAAGGCGACGAUCCAUAGCUGGUCUGAGAGGAUGAUCAGCCACACUGGGACUGAGACACGGCCCAGACUCCUACGGGAGGCAGCAGUGGGGAAUAUUGGACAAUGGGCGAAAGCCUGAUCCAGCAAUGCCGCGUGAAUGAUGAAGGCCUUAGGGUUGUAAAGCUCUUUUACCCGGGAUGAUAAUGACAGUACCGGGAGAAUAAGCUCCGGCUAACUCCGUG